rnacentral:lncRNA from 1 species
AGUUUUUUUUCCUAUCUGUAUUGGGAUUUUCGUCCUCUCUGCUGCAAAACACUGUUGACACUGGCCUGUAGCUUGUGGGGAUUCUGGGCUCUGCUGGCACCAUUCACUAAGAUAAAAAGCGACAGCUCGGGAGCCCCCUGUGCACUCUGGAGCUUUCAGCCUGCAGCACAGGGCAGUAUAUCAAACACCAGCAGGCCAGCCCCUUUUUGUUGCAUUAGCCAGUCAAGCAUUUUGUGCUGCUGAAUGUCAUCUUAUUUAACAUUUUGUUAAACAACUUCUAAAGGUCUUAACAAUAUGACAGAUGGGCUUUUGAAUGGACGCUUUAAUGGCUGAGCAUUAGUUUGCUUUGGUUUGAUAGUGUUUAUUGUUAGUUAAGUACUGUUUAAAUAAAUCAGUCUCCCCCCUCUCUCUUUUGCAAUGCAGACAUAUUGAAGAGAGGGUUUUAUUCUUCUUGCAGUGGGUGUGUGUUUUGGUCUGUCAUGGAGAAAAGAUAGAUGUUGGUCUCAGUUCCAGUCAGUCUCUGCCUCAGAGGAUACAGCUCCAAGGUCUGAAUCAUGUCUGUUAAGGUGAAAACAUGGAGGGUUCAUCUUCCCCUGGGGAUUCAUCUUCACUACUUCAAAAGUGAUGAACUGCAAGCUUCUAUCUGCACAGACUGAAGGGCCAGUGCUGUGAUGGGAUGAAGCUGGGAAUAAAAUGUUUGGAAAGUCAAAGAGAAGCCUUCCCUUCCUUGCUGCAAGUAGAAGGAAGCCCUUGAGAGGAGUAGCUGAGAUAGGAAAUGCAAGCAGGACACCGCCUCCUUUUUCUGACAGCACAAAUCAAUGCCAAGUACCUGUCAGCAUUAGUCCUUGGCUCUAGUAAAGAUAUCAGCAGUCUCUUUCCAGAAUCUAGAAACCGGAUACAAGAUGUGAAUUGAAGAGUCAUAAAUGUAGUGUAGCUACUGAUACUUGCCUUGUUUUGAACUUCUGAGGGAUACCUCACUCUCUGUAAUCCAAAGUAUGGAUAGGCUUAUUUUUUUAAGGCAACUGUGUAUUUAUGUCUUUGAUCAAAUUUUUGACCUGUG